UAUUGGACAAUGGGUGUAACCCUGAUCCAGCGACGCCGCGUGAGUGAAGAAGUAUUUCGGUUUGUAAAGCUCUAUCAGCAGGGAAGAAAGAAAUGACGGUACCUGACUAAGAAGCCCCUGCUAACUACGUGCCAGCAGCCGAGGUAAUACGUAGGGGUCAAGCGUUAUCCGGAUUUACUGGGUGUAAAGGGAGCGUAGACGGCGAUGCAAGUCUGAAGUGAAAGGCGGGGGCCCAACCCCCGGACUGCUUUGGAAACUGUAUGGCUGGAGUGCAGGAGAGGUAAGUGGAAUUCCUAGUGUAGCGGUGAAAUGCGUAGAUAUUAGGAGGAACACCAGUGGCGAUGGCGGCUUACUGGACUGUAACUGACGUUGAGGCUCGAAAGCGUGGGGAGCAA
rnacentral:rRNA from 1 species